rnacentral:rRNA from 1 species
ACAGAGGGUGCGAGCGUUAAUCGGAAUUACUGGGCGUAAAGCGCGCGUAGGCGGCUUUGUAAGUCGGUUGUGAAAUCCCCGGGCUUAACCUGGGAACUGCAUCCGAGACUGCAUAGCUAGAGUAUGGGAGAGGGAAGUGGAAUUUCAGGUGUAGCGGUGAAAUGCGUAGAUAUUCGGAGGAAUACCAGUGGCGCAAGCGGUUAACUGGACGGGCAUUGACACUCAGAUACGAAAGCGUGGGUAGCAAACAGGA